rnacentral:lncRNA from 1 species
UGUAUAUGAGAGCGAUUUCCAGCAGAGAGAAGCUUAUCACAGAUCCACCUAAAAGGUUCCCCCUCCAGAUGUUUCAUGAACGUCACUGUACUUUCUGCCCUGGGGACAGAACAGAUAGGAAUGGAAACCACUUCAGCCAGCUAUCAAUCAAUGGAAGAGACGAUGGCACCAACAAUGUGUUCCUCUGUCUGAAAGACAUAAUUGCUUGAUGGAAGAAUAGUCUGUUCGACUCCUGGGUGUGAUGGAAGUGAUGCUGGUAAGGAAGGAAAAUAUUUCCAGGAACUGAAGAAUGAUUAUAGCAUCUCUAAGGAGGACAUUUGCCUGUGACUGUUAAAGUGCUGAAUUGACUUUCCUGAUCCUUGAUAAAUAAAUGGAAAGAAUGCUUUCUGUUACUGGAGGCU